GAUGCCACUCCACUUCGCCUACGCACGCAGCUUCGCCGCCCCUUGUCUUCCGUCGCUGCUACCUGCCUUUGACGCUGGCCGCGUUGCCGGCGCACUGGGCGCCUGCUCAGGGGCCCCCACUGGUGCUGCCAGGGCUCCUGUCCUUCCCAAAGGGGCCGUCACCAUCCCGCUUGUCAUUAACCAUCAUGGCAUGACCACCCGUGCCAAACAUGGGUUCCGCCAGCAUGUUCUGUUCCACACUACACCACUAUCUCCGGUUCCGAAGUCCUUCCGUAGU
rnacentral:lncRNA from 1 species